AUAACAAUUCUCUUUCAAUACAGGGAAAAGAAACAGAAAAUUCUGGACAUCCGGAAAAAUGUCAAAGAUGCUAUUGUGACCAUUGUUUCAGCAAUGAGUAACAUCAUACCUCCAGUUCCACUGGCCAACCCUGAAAACCAAUUUCGGUCAGACUAUAUCAAGAGCAUAGCCCCUAUCACUGACUUUGAAUAUUCGCAGGUAAGUAAACCCUUACUGAAAUAUUUUAAAUAAUAAAAGGUGGAACCAUUUUUAAUAA